UACGGAGGGGGCUAGCGUUGUUCGGAAUCAUUGGGCGUAAAGAGCGUGUAGGCGGUCCGGUAAGUCCGCUGUGAAAGUCGGGGGCUCAACCCUCGAAUGCCGGUGGAUACUGUCGGGCUAGAGUGCGGAAGAGGCGAGUGGAAUUCCUGGUGUAGCGGUGAAAUGCGCAGAUAUCAGGAGGAACACCUAUUGCGAAGGCAGCUCGCUGGGACGUAACUGACGCUGAGACGCGAAAGCGUGGGGAGCAAACAGG
rnacentral:rRNA from 1 species